rnacentral:rRNA from 1 species
CUACGGGUGGCUCCAGUGAGGAAUAUUGCACAAUGGGGGGAACCCUGAUGCAGCAACGCCGCGUGGAGGAUGACGCAUUUCGGUGUGUAAACUCCUUUUAUAUGUCAAGAAAAUGACGGUAGCAUAUGAAUAAGCACCGGCUAACGUCCGUGCCAGCAGCCGCGGUAAUACGGAGGGUGGAAGCGUUACUCGGAAUCACUGGGCGGAAAGGACGCGUAGGCGGGUUGGAAAGUCAGGUGUGAAAUCCUACAGCUUAACUGUAGAACUGCACUUGAAACUUCUAAUCUAGAGUAUGGGAGGGGGAGAUGGAAUUAGUGGUGUAGGGGUAAAAUCCGUAGAUACCACUAGGAAUACCUAAAGCGAAGGCGAUCUCCUGGAACAUUACUGACGCUAAGGCGUGAAAGCGUGGGGAGCAAACAGGAUUAGAUACCCUGGUAGUC